rnacentral:rRNA from 1 species
AGAGUUUGAUCCUGGCUCAGAAUCAACGCUGGCGGCGCGCCUAACACAUGCAAGUCGAACGAGAAAGCAGGAGCAAUCUUGUGAGUAAAGUGGCGUACGGGUGAGUAACACGUGGAUCAUCUACCUCUUUGUGGGGGAUAACCCUGGGAAACCGGAGCUAAUACCGCAUAAGUCCGAGAGGAGAAAGCAGCAAUGCGCAGAGAGAGGAGUCCGCGGCCGAUUAGCUAGUUGGUAGGGUAAAAGCCUACCAAGGCAACGAUCGGUAGCCGGCCUGAGAGGGCACACGGCCACACUGGUACUGAAACACGGGCCAGACUCCUACGGGAGGCAGCAGUGGGGAAUCUUGCACAAUGGGGGCAACCCUGAUGCAGCGACGCCGCGUGAGCGAUGAAGCCCUUCGGGGUGUAAAGCUCUUUCGGCAGGGAAGAUUAUGACGGUANNUGCAGAAGCAGCUGCGGCUAACUACGUGCCAGCAGCCGCGGUAAUACGUAGGCAGCAAGCGUUGUUCGGAGUUACUGGGCGUAAAGGGUGUGUAGGCGGUUUUCUAAGUCUGGUGUGAAAUCUCCCGGCUCAACUGGGAGGGUGCGCCGAAAACUGGAAGGCUAGAGUGCGGGAUGGGAGAGUGGAAUUCCUGGUGUAGCGGUGAAAUGCGUAGAUAUCAGGAGGAACACCUGUGGUGUAGACGGCUCUCUGGACCGCAACUGACGCUGAGACACGAAAGCGUGGGUAGCAAACAGGAUUAGAUACCCUAGUAGUCC